UAGUGGCGAACGGGUGAGUAACACGUGGGCAAUCUGCCCUUCACUCUGGGACAAGCCCUGGAAACGGGGUCUAAUACCGGAUAAUACUUUUCCCUGCAUGGGGGAGGGUUGAAAGCUCCGGCGGUGAAGGAUGAGCCCGCGGCCUAUCAGCUUGUUGGUGGGGUGAUGGCCUACCAAGGCGACGACGGGUAGCCGGCCUGAGAGGGCGACCGGCCACACUGGGACUGAGACACGGCCCAGACUCCUACGGGAGGCAGCAGUGGGGAAUAUUGCACAAUGGGCGGAAGCCUGAUGCAGCGACGCCGCGUGAGGGAUGACGGCCUUCGGGUUGUAAACCUCUUUCAGCAGGGAAGAAGCGUGAGUGACGGUACCUGCAGAAGAAGCGCCGGCUAACUACGUGCCAGCAGCCGCGGUAAUACGUAGGGCGCAAGCGUUGUCCGGAAUUAUUGGGCGUAAAGAGCUCGUAGGCGGCUUGUCGCGUCGGAUGUGAAAGCCCGGGGCUCAACCCCGGGUCUGCAUUCGAUACGGGCAGGCUGGAGUGUGGUAG
rnacentral:rRNA from 1 species